GAUGAAGAACGUAGCGAAAUGCGAUAAGUAAUGUGAAUUGCAGAAUUCAGUGAAUCAUCGAAUCUUUGAACGCACAUUGCGCCCGCCAGUAUUCUGGCGGGCAUGCCUGUCUGAGCGUCAUUUCAACCCUCAUGCCCCUAGGGCGUGGUGUUGGGGAUCGGCCAAAGCCCGCGAGGGACGGCCGGCCCCUAAAUCUAGUGGCGGACCCGUCGUGACCUCCUCUGCGAAGUAGUGAUAUUCCGCAUCGGAGAGCGACGAGCCCCUGCCGUUAAACCCCCAACUUUCCAAGGUUGACCUCAGAUCAGGUAGGAAUACCCGCUGAACUUAAGCAUAUCAAUAAGCGGAGGA
rnacentral:misc_RNA from 1 species